AAUCAAAAGAUCCAACGCCUCACUUGCAUGAGUAACAACGUGAUAGGCUGACAGGUACAUAACUUACAAAUUAUAGUUCAAGUCAACAAUCCCCCCACGUACGACGAGUUUAAGAGUGUUCUCUUGAAGAGAAGAGAGAGGACUUUUUCUUUGAACUGAUCCUGGCAAAGCUGCUGCUUUCUCAUCGGUGCACUGUCGGUUGAUCCUCGGACAAGGGGGAGAUUAGCGCCGACUGCCUUGAGUUGAAUUGAGCUUCUUCAUUCUUGUGUGUGUUUUGCUUAUUCUACACGAUCGAGGAUGUGCUGCAUGCUUGAGUUUUCCUUUUUUUAAUGACAGCGUUUCAAACUGGGAGAUGGAUGGUGUUCUGGAUCGUUGACAGAAGAUAGAGAGCACAAUUGAGCAUAUCCAAUCAAAGAUUGUGUAUGGGCAGCUUUGUGCCCUCUUUUCUUCUGUCAACCAUUUCUUUGUAUCGCGUCUUCAUCGAUUCUACUCAAACAAAUUAAAGAAGGGCCAUCGGCACCUAACCAACCUCCAUUGCAUGCUGCCUCCCACCAAAUCCAGCAUCAACCAAGGUACACUCCUUUUCACAAGUUAAUUUGCAAUUUGUGAUUCAGAAGAGUUUCCUUAUAUUUUCUUCUAUAAUUUGAAAAAAAAAAAAAACCCAGAAAAUAAAUCCAACAAUUGAAGAUCAAUCUCAAGCGCUUAUUAGACGUGUAUCGUAAGAACACAUAUCACCGACUUCGUUAGCCAUUGGUCGGUCUCUGGGUAGCCUUUCAAAAGUUUGUACGUACGUACAUACACUUGAUGUUUACUUUACCCCACCUUUAGCUCGACUGAAAAGAUAUUUAUUAGUAAUUUCCCAAUGGACUUUCUUUCCAUUGCGGGAUGGCCCUCAAUAGAUGGUUACAUGCAUGACCAGGCAUGAGCAGUUGAAUUAGUCUUAGUAGAAGAAAAAGAAGAUGCAAUAUCAUACGCAACUUGAAAGCUGCUCUUAGAAAAGGAUGUCUACAGCAAUUCAGUCUACAGUAAAUCUUCUUCUUGGCAUUCACCGGAGUUGUUAUCGUGCACAGGAAGAAGACAGUGUUUACUUUGAUGAUUUCUUCUUCUUUUUUCUUCUUUCUCAGUCGCAAUAAUACCUGCCUUUUAUUAGGACUUUUUACGUUGUAAAAGCUGGAAAUUAUGCUCACCCCCGACCCAAAAAAAAAAAAAAAAA